GACGAACGCUGGCGGCGUGCUUAACACAUGCAAGUCGAACGGUGAAAGCGGAGCUUGCUCCGCCGGAUCAGUGGCGAACGGGUGAGUAACACGUGGGCAACCUGCCCCUCACUUCGGGAUAACUCCGGGAAACCGGGGCUAAUACCGGAUAUGACCUCCUUGGGCAUCCUUGGAGGUGGAAAGUUUUUCGGUGAGGGAUGGGCCCGCGGCCUAUCAGCUUGUUGGUGAGGUAGUGGCUCACCAAGGCGACGACGGGUAGCCGGCCUGCGAGGGCGACGGGCCACACUGGGACUGAGACACGGCCCAGACUCCUACGGGAGGCAGCAGUGGGGAAUAUUGCGCAAUGGGCGAAAGCCUGACGCAGCAACGCCGCGUGCGGGAUGAAGGCCUUCGGGUUGUAAACCGCUUUUAGUAGGGAAGAAGCCUUCGGGUGACGAUACCUGCAGAAAAAGGACCGGCUAACUACGUGCCAGCCGCCGCAGUAA
rnacentral:rRNA from 1 species